AAAACAGCCUGGCAGGAGAGACACCACGAUCAUGAAGGUGGUUUUCCCGGGGCUGGGCUUAUCCAUUGCAUUCAGAUAUUGCUAGCGCCUGUGAUUUUCCCAAAUGUAGGAAACUGGACUGCAUAAUUUGUGGUAGUAUGGGGGAUUAUGUUCGUAUUCUCUCCUG